rnacentral:lncRNA from 1 species
AUAGUGAUUGAACAGCUAAACAGAACGAAAAAGCAUGCACAUCUUACAGAUACAGAGAUCAUGACUUUGGUAGAUGAGACUAACAUGUAUGAAGGUGUAGGAAGAAUGUUUAUUUUUCAGUCCAAGGAAGCAAUUCACAAUCAACUGUUAGAGAAGCAGCAAAUAGCGAAGAAAAAAUUAAAGAACUAGAACAGAAAAAGUCCUACCUGGAGCGGAGCGUUAAGGAAGCUGAGAACAACAUCCGGGAGAUGCUGAUGGCACGAAGGGCCCAG